CAUUAUCUGUUGAAACCCCGCAAGGUUAGUUUGUUUGGUUUUCUUCGGUUGAUGCAAGGCAUUGCAAUUUAAAGCUCAUUCAUUCAAGUUCAAGGUCAUAUGCAAGUACAAGAUCAAAUUCAAACUCAAACUUUUGGAGGGAAGCUACCUUUCUUAAAACACAAGUUAUAUAACCCAUUCAAAGGUCAUUUUCAUUAUCAAAACAUGCAUUUCACAUUACAAGUCCAUACAAAAGUACAUCAUUUUGGCCUACUGUUAAAUUUUGGUCAACUAUUGACUUUUUUGUCAAACAAUUGACCAAAGUCAACUAACUAUCUUAAACCCUAAUUCUACUUUUUCCUUCAUUCAUAAUCCUUCCCAUGUUUGUUUAAAUGUCUUUUUGGGCCAUGACCUCUCCAUGUUCCAUGACAAUCUUUAUUCAUGCCUUCAUGACCAAAAUGUCAUGCCAAAACAUUAUUCCAUUCCAUGAUCCCACCAGCUCUGCAAAAUCGCAUACAAUGCACAAUUAAGAUUCAUGCCCAUACAUGGAUAAACAUAACCAUAUACACAAUCCUUAGCCAUGACAAGUAUAACUCAUGCAAGCAUAGCCAUGAUAGUUACACAUACAUAGAUCCAUAACCAAAAAACGCAUCAAACAAUACCAUAACAGUCCAAAUAACUCCAUAAACGAUCAAAAAGCCAUGUCAGUUCAAACAAUGGCAGCCUAACUCUCAAACUUCAAUAGUCAAGCUAAUUGUUUUUCAUUACAUCAAACUAUUUUCAAUUCAAACUUCAAAAUGCUAACAAUUCAUCCACAUAAACUAACUGCAAGUUCAAUUCAAUUAACAAUUUGACUAUUUCACAUUCCUAACUAAAAUUCAAAAGAGCAUUAAAACUUGAACCGACAUUCUAACCAAAUGUAUAAUUAAAAUCAUAACAUUAGCAUAAAAACCAACAUGAUUAGCUCAUUUUCUAUUAACAGCCUGCAAAUUCCUCUAACAGUUCAUGAUGUAACUAAUUCAAACUAUCAAAACUUCAAACAAAGUUCCCACUGUCAACACCAAUUAACUCAAAUAAACUAAUCUUAGCAUCUCAUUUACAAAUCCUUACUAACACAUUCACAAUUCACUAACAUAACUUCAACUCUUCACUGACACAAACUAACUUCUUCAUAACUUCAAAAUGUCAACCUAACAACCUCACUAACUUCAUUCAACUAAUUCAAUUCGAACUAACAUAACAACGCUCUUCAUAACUAACCUUAACAGAAAAUCAAAUCUAACACAACUAACACUCCAAUCAUCCUCUAACUUACUUUAACAGAAACAGUUUCACAAUGUUAACUCAAAACAACUUCCUUCAUUGAUCUUCAUUUGAAUCUAACUGUGCCAUAACUUGUAACAACCUGCCCCAUAGCUUUCCCGAAUCAGUUAACAAUCUCCUCUACAUAACCUUCACUCACCUUCAUUUCAUCAUCAACAAUCAUAUUCUGAAUCACUCUCAAUCUCCUUGAAGCACUAUGAGAUUUCUCUCUGAAGCUCUCUCUCUCUCUCUCUCUGUAUUUUCCCCCUCUACUUCAUCAUUAUCCUCUCAUGCGUAUGUAACAACAACAACACAGAGCAACAACAUCAACAAUAAUCGAUUUCUCCUACGAACUAAGAAUUCGAAAAAGGAGAAGAAGAUUACACCGAGUUCUAAUUACUGACCUUAUUUGAAGUUUCUCUAGUCUUCUUCGUCUCCACCAAGCUUUGCAUUCAACGAACUCCAAGGCCAUCUCUGCCUUGAAAGUAAGUGCUUCAGAUUUUCUUUGUUCGUUCUUUAAAUUCCGUCUUCACCAUGUAUUAUCAAUGAUUUUGAACUAAUUUUUUGUUUCGGUAGUUAGCGUUCAUCCUUUCUUCGCUUUGAUUUGGAAAAUCUGUGGGAGUUUAGGAUAAAAUAGGGUGAGAUUGAGAGAGACGAGGUUGUGAGGUUCGUUUUGAUGGUGGUGAUGGCCGUUUCGACUCAACUCCGCCGCCUCUGGCGCGACGGUGUACAACUUUGAUGAUGGAACUAAUUAAAGUGAGUGUGUGUGAGAGAGAGAUGAACAAAAAUAACAUGAAAAAUGUGAAAUAAGAUUUACUGAAUGAUCCCUCUUCCCUUUCAUUUCGUAUUGAGCCUCAAAACACAUUAGGCCCAUAUGUCUUG
rnacentral:lncRNA from 1 species